rnacentral:snRNA from 1 species
AAAUUUCAAAAAAAAAAAUAAAAAAAUCUGUUUUUAUCAGUUUAAUAUCUGAUACGUCCCCUACCCGGGGACCAUAUAUUAAAUUGAUUUUUGGAACUGGGAGAUGGAAUAGGGGCUUGCUCCGUCCACUGCACGCAUCGACCUGGUAUUGCAGUACCUUCCAGGAAUGGUGCACCCCCC